UACGAAGGGGGCUAGCGUUGCUCGGAAUUACUGGGCGUAAAGCGCGCGUAGGCGGCUUUGUAAGUUAGAGGUGAAAGCCCGGAGCUCAACUCCGGAACUGCCUUUGAGACUGCAUCGCUAGAAUUGUGGAGAGGUGAGUGGAAUUCCGAGUGUAGAGGUGAAAUUCGUAGAUAUUCGGAAGAACACCAGUGGCGAAGGCGACUCACUGGACACAUAUUGACGCUGAGGUGCGAAAGCGUGGGGAGCAAACAGG
rnacentral:rRNA from 1 species